GUAAAACGUGUAGUCCCGCGUUGUUGGGUUCAGCGCUCUCCAGCAAUCCGCCAAUUGGUGUUGGUGCAGUAGACGGAGUGUGUUCGCGUGUCGAUUAUGCGGGGUUCUGCCGAGUGUCGAUGUGGAGUCUUGGUCUGGGUGCAGGGUCAGGUUCAGAUCUCCCCCCACGAUCAGAGUGCCUUCUGCGAACUUCAUCAGGGUGUUCAGUGCGUUCCGAAGGAAAGGGAACUGUUUCGUGUUCGGG